rnacentral:rRNA from 1 species
CAGCCGCCGCGGUAAUACGAAGGGGGCUAGCGUUGUUCGGAUUAACUUGGCGUAAAGGGCGCGUAGGCGGGUUUUUAAGUCAGAGGUGAAAUCCCAAGGCUCAACCUUGGAACUGCCUUUGAUACUGGAAAUCUUGAGUCCGGGAGAGGUGAGUGGAACUGCGAGUGUAGAGGUGAAAUUCGUAGAUAUUCGCAAGAACACCAGUGGCGAAGGCGGCUCACUGGCCCGGUACUGACGCUGAGGCGCGAAAGCGUGGGGAGCAAACAGGAUUAGAUACCCCUGUAGUCCCUGUCUCUUAUAC